CAACUAACUAUCACAUUCUUCU
rnacentral:siRNA from 1 species